rnacentral:piRNA from 1 species
UGACUUCAGCCUGGUCAUGCUUGCUC